rnacentral:misc_RNA from 1 species
UCUUUAUUAUCCUCUGGAGUUGAG